CAGAAAUCGCCACCUGGCCUGGCCACAAGGUUCAUCUGAGCGUGGGUGCCCGCAUGGCCGCGGGGCCGUGGGGAGGAUGGAGAAAGCCAGCCUCGGAGCCUGGGGACCUCAGGACCCUGCCCACGGCCCCCCGAAACUGGAGGAGGGAACCCUGCGCAAGGCCUGCCCGGCCCGGGUUUUACCACGGGGCCUCUCCGGGAAGCCAGACCAGAUCCCCGUGGGGUGGAGAGGACGAAGGACGCUCACGGAGCCAAAGAGACCAGAGCUGCGUCCCCUGGGGGGACGUGCAAUGCGGCCAGCCAUCAGGUCCCCAGCCAUCACGUCUCCGGGGCUGCUUUCUCCUAAUUAUCUAGCCUCCGGUGGCUCCUCGUUCCGUGGCUUGUGGCCUCUCGCGGCAUCUCUGGGUCUCAGAUCUCCCCCACCUUUCUCUGAUAAAGACAGCGAUCACUGGAUGCAGGGCCCACCGUCCAUCCAGAUCCUUAACUUGAUGACAUCUGCAAAGACCCUCUUUCCAAAUAGGGUCACAGUCACAGGCACCGAGUGGGGAGCGGCCAGGGAGGACACAAGGCCCCCCAAGUCCCAGCUCCAGACUGACAGCUCAUGGACUCCGGGCCCCCCAGCCUCUCGCAGUCCCACCUGCUCGCCGGGGCCUCGGGCCCACGUCCCGGUGCACGAAGUCCUUGGCCGGACCCAGCCCGGGGGAGGAAUGCAGAGCCAGACCAGGGCUGCUGGCCGGACUCCAGGCCCAGGGAGACGCCCCCCGGGCCCUGCUAUCAGUCCUGCAGACGCCACCAGACCUCCUCCCGGAGGACAGACUCCAGCCUUCACGUGGUGACCCCGCUGUGCCCUCAGCCCCGCAGGGUUGGAGUGUCCCAUGCGCCUGGCCGCCCCCAAAAGGCCGAAUGCCUAGAAUGCCACAGGAUUCCCACGGUGGCCCUUCUCCCGGCCCCAGGGAAGGAGCAAAGGCUGGCUCUGGGGUGGGGGUGGGAGGGCCCAGGGUACCAAGAAGAAAAGAAUGGAAAACAUCUCAUUGAUUACAUGUCGAAAUGUCAGUAUUUUGGAUUACAUAAAAUAUAUUGUUAAAAUUAAUUUCUCCCGCUUCUUUUCAUUUUUUUUAAUGCAG
rnacentral:lncRNA from 1 species